AUGGAUCAGCGGCCAAUCUGUCCGCGAGAUUGCCCCCUGCUAUACCAAUGCAUACCCAAGCAGCGACGCAAGACACGAACAGUGGCCGAUGGACUCAACGGGAACACUUGGGCCCGAGACAUCCAAGGAACCAUCGGGAUACACGAGAUUGGCCAAUACCUGAUGCUAUGGCAGGCGAUACAGCACUUCACCCUAUCGGAAGAAACUGACCGACUGCUUUGGAGAUGGACAACAAGCGCUACAUAUUCGACCCAAUCUUGCUAUGCAGCCACCUUCCAGGGAUCUACAUGCCGCCACUCGUGGAAGCUGAUUUGGAAGAGUUGGGCGCCACCCCGCGUCAAAUUCUUCCACUGGCUUGCCUACCAGGACCGAUGUUGGACGGCGACAAGACUUGCCAGCCGCGGCCUGUAG
rnacentral:rRNA from 1 species